rnacentral:misc_RNA from 1 species
GUUGGUGAACCAGCGGAGGGAUCAUUACAAGAAGCCGAAAGGCUACUUCAAACCAUUGCGAACUCGUCCAAGUUGCUUCGGCGGCGCGGCACCCCUUAACGGGCGCGCCGCAGCCCUGCCCCUCCGGAGGUUCGGGGCGCCCGCCGGAGGUACGAAACUCUGUAUUAUAGUGGCAUCUCUGAGUGUAGAACAAAUAAGUUAAAACUUUCAACAACGGAUCUCUAGGUUCUG